GUGGGGAAUAUUGGACAAUGGGCGCAAGCCUGAUCCAGCCAUACCGCGUGGGUGAAGAAGGCCUUCGGGUUGUAAAGCCCUUUUGUUGGGAAAGAAAUCCUGUCGGUUAAUACCUGGCGGGGAUGACGGUACCCAAAGAAUAAGCACCGGCUAACUUCGUGCCAGCAGCCGCGGAAAUACGAAGGGUGCAAGCGUUACUCGGAAUUACUGGGCGUAAAGCGUGCGUAGGUGGUGGUUUAAGUCCGUUGUGAAAGCCCUGGGCUCAACCUGGGAAUUGCAGUGGAUACUGGAUCACUAGAGUGUGGUAGAGGGAUGCGGAAUUUCUGGUGUAGCAGUGAAAUGCGUAGAGAUCAGAAGGAACAUCCGUGGCGAAGGCGGCAUCCUGGGCCAACACUGACACUGAGGCACGAAAGCGUGGGGAGCAAACAGGAUUAGAUACCCGUGUAGUCC
rnacentral:rRNA from 1 species